rnacentral:rRNA from 1 species
AGAGUUUGAUCAUGGCUCAGAACGAACGCUGGCGGCGGGCCUCAUACAUGCAAGUCGAGCGCGAAAGUCCGCAAGGAUGAGUAAAGCGGCGCACGGGUGAGUAACACGUGGAUAAUCUACCCUUUGGAUUGGAAUAACCUGUCGAAAGACGGGCUAAUGCCAAGUAAGCUUACGAGUUCGUGAAGUUCUUGUAAGGAAAGAUGGUGCAAGCUAUCGCCGAAGGAUGAGUCUGCGUCCCAUUAGUUAGUUGGUGAGGUAAUGGCUUACCAAGACAAUGAUGGGUACCUGGUCUGAGAGGAUGACCAGGCACACUGGAACUGAAACACGGUCCAGACUCCUACGGGAGGCAGCAGUAGGGAAUAUUGCGCAAUGGACGAAAGUCUGACGCAGCCACGCCGCGUGAGUGAGGAAGGCCUUCGGGUUGUAAAGCUCUGUCAUUCGGGAAAAAUAGCCAUCCGGGGAAAGUUCGGGUGGUCUGAUGGUACCGAAGGAGGAAGCACCGGCAAACUCUGUGCCAGCAGCCGCGGUAAUACAGAGGGUGCAAGCGUUGUUCGGAAUUACUGGGCGUAAAGCGUGCGUAGUCGGUAUUGAGAGUCACGGGUGAAAUCCCCACGCUUAACGUGGGAACUGCCUGUGAGACCUCAGUACUAGAGUGUGAGAGGGGAUAGUGGAAUACCAAGUGUAGCGGUGAAAUGCGUAGAGAUUUGGUGGAACACCGGUGGCGAAGGCGGCUAUCUGGCUCACAACUGACGAUCAGGCACGAAAGCGUGGGGAGCAAACAGGAUUAGAUACCCUAGUAGUCC